UCGGCCGGGGGGGGGCAGAGAGAGACCCCGAUGGCCGGGAAGGACCUGGUGUGAGCGAGCUCAGGGCUGUCGCUUUCUCCUGGACAGGACGCUUCUGUAUGGCUUCUCCGGAUUUGUCAUACCUUUGGGAGGACAGUUCAGUGUGUGUCCCUGUCUAGUAUGUUGUCUCUGACUGUGUGUCUGUGUAGGAGAGAGAGAGUGUAUGGGUGUGUGAGAGAGAGAGAGAGAGAAGGAGGGAGGGAGCGGGGUGCAGUGUUACCACUGGUGGCGGCUGGCUCUGUUGAAUUCCGCUUCCAGCCCUCAAGAGUUUCCCGGCUGAGCCUCUGGGCACCCUGAGUUGGGACCGAGGUGGCCGGUGCAGCUGGAGGCGGGGGUGGGGCUAGCCUACAUAGCCGCUUAAGCCCGGACUGCUGGGGCAAAGCGAUUAUUGGUGUGUUGUGUGUGUGUGCGUGCAUGCGUGUGUGUGUGUGUGUGUGUGUGUGUGUGUGUGUGUAGGUGGGUGAGACUGAGCUCACAGCUCUUAGUGGCUGCAGGUUUCUCAACUGCCCUGAGAAGAGCCAAAAAUUUGCCCGUGGCGUUUCCGUCCCUUUCCUUGUGAGAUUCACUCCCCGUUGCUGACCUGGAUCCGUGCAUUUACUCUAAGAUGCUGGGCUCCUAAAUUGCUUCUCUUCCUAGGGGUGCCUCAGCUCUAAUGGUGGGAUUUCAGUCCGCGUGGGGGUGGGGUGGGGAUAGUUUGGGAUGUAGGGAGCUUCCUGGCGCUGCCUUGGUGACAUGGACAAAUUGAGAUUUCUGACCUUGUGUUUGACAAAUGAGUCACCUGUAAUCACACUUAUUCUCCCCUGCAUAAACUGAAGCAAGAGGAAAAGCUUCCAGCUGCACCACCUGUGCCCGGAGGCUCUUCAGAGGGUUAAUUCUAAUAAGAGCAGUGAGUGUGAAGUCAGGGGAUGAAAUGUUCCAGAACUGGCAUGCUGUCCAGAUCGGUGCCCUGCAGGCUCCGCGGCCCUUGCUGCGGUGAUCUGCUUGGAGCGCCCCGGACGCCGUGCUGCGGGGUCUGCUGUGGGUCAUGGCCAAGGCUGAUCCACAGUGUCUGGGAACUGGGAUUUGAACACUGGUCUUUGGGGCAUCAUGGCUGCCCGAGACGGAGCCCUUCUCGAACAUGGUGCCAGCCUCAGCCAGCUCUCAGCCACUUCCCCUCCAGCUGCCCUUCUUCCAAAACAGUUUGGGGAAGACACAGCUGACUGACCCCACACCCAACGCCGUGGCUUGGAGGUGCACCCACAGACGGUACCCCACAGUGCCUCACGUCAGUCUGGGCACAACAGGACCUCAGCACCUCAGUGUCCUGCUCCAGAACCGUGGAACUGAAGACCCACAGAGCAGCCUUGCACCCCGCCGUGACACCUUGGGCUACAUCACGGCACAGGUGAACCACCAAUCCUAGACCCUCAAGUUCCAGGCACAUAGUAGGUCCUCCAUCAUGUCUUGCCAAGUGGAUGAAAGGAGCCAGGCCUCCCCAUCUGGCCCAAUGACAAGCUAGCUCGUUCAGCAGCUCAUGGCUCCCAUCCAGGCAUCUGCUUCUCUUGAUUUCACUGGAGCAGACAACCCAUCGCUCAGCCACAGGUUGGUGGGGACAGGGACAGGUGCCUGAUGUGGGGAGAUGGUCCUGGGCUUUGAGGAUUGGACACAGGCCCUGAGUUGAUGAAGAAGCGAUUUCGCACGGAGGCCUCUUUCUGGUGCUGUCAGAAGGGAAGAUGCCACGCUCGGCACUCUCCUGAGCUGGAAUGCUGUCAGAACCAACCACCCAGACCCCGCUUUGGUUGCCAUUUCAUGCCGGAAGAUAUUCCUUCUUGUUCGGCAGCAGCUCUCGGAUGUGGCUUUUAAUAUGCUCGCUGCCGUGUCAUCGAUUUCUCCCCUCAAGCAGUGGAAAGAAUCGUCAGGGGCUGGGAUAGUCGGCUGUUGGGGAAUCAAGAAAUUUGCCCCACAGUCAGUCUUGCAAAAACCCUGGUAUCUUUUUAUCAAAUGUGAACAUUUGAUGGAGCCCGAUUAUUCUAGAUGCUGACUGUACAGACAAGUCAUGUUUCUUAGAAUCAAAGGAAUGGUUUUCGUUGGCGUUAUUGGGUCACAGAGAAAGACUGUGAAUCUUGGCCCUCAUUACAAGCAAAAAACAAACAACUUGCUGUACACCUUCAUUCAAGAGCGAGCAUGGCUCAGGUUGGAAAAGCAGACUUUUGUUCAGCCCAUCUCUUUUGACAGCUGGCUAAAAAAACGUCCACUCAGUGGCCUUGGCUUGAUUGCACUUGUAAUAUUCUCAAUUUCUCUCGGCACUGAAUGAAAAUCUGGAAGCACAUUGUUGCCUGCCAGCUGCUCACUGUGAAUCAGCUCUGAGCACUGGCAUUCCCAAGCAAGUGCCUCCAUCCACGUAGCUCUGCCCUUCCUAGCAGCCUACAUGGCAACGGAGAGUCGGUCUUCACCUCAGUGGCACUUCCAGUCCACGUCGUGGCUCGCAAAUAAUGAACUUAACCAAGGAACGAGGAGGACAGAGGACUCCUCUGCAGCACCAGGUUAAGGGAUGGACAGGACCAGAAACAUCAUGGAGGAUGUCUCCCUCAUAUACGCACAGAUCAUGCUGUGGCUGUUUGGGAAAAUAUCCAACCACAGAUGUUUUAAUAAAUAAAGAUGCAUU